rnacentral:lncRNA from 1 species
UGUUGCCAAUAAUACAAAAAUAUUGCUUUAUUGUUUUUGAUAAUUAAGUAAAAUAUGAGAAAAACCUAAUGUAAACAACUUCAGCUUAUUAAAAGGGGCAUAGCACUUCUAUUGUUUAUGGCUUCCAGUCAUUUCAUGGGAAAUCAUGGUCAAUCCUAUUUUACUGUGCUACAUGUGGUAGUUGAUAUAACAUGUCAACAAAGCAUCUACAGGUCAAUUAAAGUAGAAAAUGUUGUAGCUGUUUAUGUACAAGAGUGGCUAAUUUUCAGAUAUCUUGAGUUUUUGGAUAUAAAUUUGAAAAUUUAUAAAAAAAAAAUUAAAAUAAAAAUUAUUGAUAAGAAGAAAAAACAUA